GACGGAGGGUGCAAGCGUUGUUCGGAAUUACUGGGCGUAAAGCGCGGGCAGGUGGCCUUUUAAGUCCUUUGUGAAAUUCCGGAGCUCAACUCCGGACAUGCAUAGGAUACUGGAAGGCUAGAGACUGGUAGAGGCGAGCGGAAUUCCUGGUGUAGCGGUGGAAUGCGUAGAUAUGACAUAGAACACCAAUUGCGAAGGCAGCUGGCUACACGAAUAUUGACACUGAUGCACGAAAGCGUGGGGAUCAAACAGG
rnacentral:rRNA from 1 species